GCCAUAAGAUAGUAUUUAUGGUUCAACCUGCCCAAUGUCUGAGAAGAUGAAUGGCCGCGGUACCCUGACCGUGCUAAGGUAGCGUAAUCACUUGGCUUUUAAAUGGAGUCACGUAUGAAUGGGAUAACCGUGUUCGGCUGUCUCAAAGAGGUUAAUUUGAAUUUACUGUCCAAGUGAAAAAGCUUGGUAGAUGAAGGGGGACGAGAAGACCCUUAGAAUUUUUUUUAAAUCGAAAUCAUUUUUGUUCGGAUUUUGUUGGGGCGACAAUGGGAGAUAUUAGAACUUCUAAUUAUUACAUGCCGAUAAUGAUAAGCCGGGAUAAAUUACCUGAGGGAUAACAGCGUAAUUCUAAAGUUGAGUUUAUGACCUCGAUGUUGGACUAGGGAACUGGCAGGCUAGCCGUUUGUCUUGUGGGUUCUGUUCGAACUUUAAUCCCU
rnacentral:rRNA from 1 species